rnacentral:rRNA from 1 species
CAAAUGAAUUGACGGGGCCCGCACAAGCGGAGGAACAUGUGGUUUAAUUCGAUGAUACGCGAAGAACCUUACCAGGGCUUGACAUCCCCUGACCGCGUAUGAAAGUACGUUUUCACCUUCGGGAGACAGGGAGACAGGUGGUGCAUGGUUGUCGUCAGCUCGUGUCGUGAGAUGUUGGGUUAAGUCCCGCAACGAGCGCAACCCCUACGUUUAGUUGCUAACGCGUGAAGGCGAGCACUCUAGACGAACUGCCGUUGACAAAACGGAGGAAGGUGGGAUGACGUCAAAUCAUCAUGCCCCUUAUGUUCUGGGCUACACACGUGCUACAAUGGCCGGUACAGACGGACGCAAAGCCGCGAGGCGGAGCAAAUCCGAAAAAGCCGGUCUCAGUUCGGAUUGCAGGCUGCAAUUCGCCUGCAUGAAGUCGGAAUCGCUAGUAAUCGCAGGUCAGCAUACUGCGGUGAAUACGUUCCCGGGCCUU